ACUGGGGGGGGGGGAUCCUCAGCCCAGAUUCUGAGAGGGCACAGGCUAGGCUAAGGGACCCUGCCAGUGCAGG
rnacentral:pre_miRNA from 1 species